AUACUACGCAGCAAAGCACGGGAACUUGGAGGUCUUCAAUGUAGCCGGGCUUGAGGUUGAGAACCUUACGCCCGACAAAAUAUGCCGGUGAACAGCACCGGCGUAGGAAAUGGGGAGGUAACUCCCCAUAAGGAGGAGGAGGAGGUGGGAAAGCGCGUGCUGGCCCAGUUCAAGAGCGAGACGGGGGAGGUAGCAGGAAAUCCGUUUGACUUGCCGGUUGAUAUCACCGUUGACAAGCUCAAACUAGUGUGCAAUGCCAUCCUCCAGAAAGAUGAAAGCACGCCAUAUUCAUUCUUUGUCAAUGAGGCAGAGAUUCAGGAUAGCCUUGAGAAAACCCUACAGAAGGUCGAAGUGACCUCUUCAGAACAAGUACUUGAUAUUGUAUAUCAGCCCCAAGCUGUGUUCCGAGUACGAGCCGUCACACGCUGUACCAGUACUAUAGAGGGACAUGCAGAUGCUGUUAUAGCUGUAGCCUUUAGUCCAGACGGAAGAUACCUUGCAAGUGGAUCUGGUGAUACGACAGUCCGGUUUUGGGAUGUCAAUACAGAGACUCCCCAGUUCACCUGUAAAGGUCACCGACACUGGAUCCUGUGUAUUGCCUGGUCUCCAGACGGUAACAAGUUGGCUUCCGGGUGCAAGAAUAGUCAGAUAUGUGUGUGGGAUCCUAAAACUGGGAACCAGAUUGGCCGAACUUUGACCGGACACAAACAGUGGAUCACAUGGAUGUCAUGGAAACCACUUCAUCUAGAUCCAGAGGGUCGCUAUUUGGCCAGUUCAUCCAAGGACGGCACAGUGAGGAUCUGGGACACAGUUUUAGGCCACACCCACCUGACACUGGCAGGGCACCUGCAGUCUGUGUCCUGCGUCAAGUGGGGGGGCACGGACCUCCUUUACACAGCCUCACAGGACCGCACUGUCAAGGUGUGGAGAGCCGCUGAUGGAGUCCUGUGUCGUACCCUACAAGGUCACAGUCACUGGGUGAACACCAUGGCCUUGAGUACUGACUACGUCAUCCGGACAGGAGCCUUCGACCCAAAGGAUGCUAAAGUAGUCCACAGAGAUGUCACAGAAUCAGGAGAUGAGUUGUCAAAGCUAGCUCUACAGAGAUACAAUGCAGUCAAGGGCACAUCUCCAGAGAGACUAGUGACAGGGUCCGAUGACUUCACGUUGUUUCUGUGGCACCCGGAGGAGGAGAAGAAACCCGUGUGUCGCAUGACAGGGCACGCCCAACUCAUCAACGAGGUUCUCUUCUCCCCUGAUACCAGGCUCAUCGCCAGUGCAUCCUUUGACAAGUCAGUGAAGGUCUGGGACGGAAGAACUGGAAAGUUUAUAGCAUCCUUGCGGGGCCAUGUGAGCCGAGUGUACCAGGUGGCGUGGUCCGCCGACAGUCGCCUGCUGUGCAGUGGGAGUUCCGACUCCACACUCAAAGUCUGGGACAUGAAGACCAGGAAGCUUCUGUCUGAUCUUCCUGGACACGCAGACGAGGUGUACUCAGUAGACUGGAGUCCGGAUGGCCAGCGAGUGGUCAGUGGAGGGAAGGACAAGGUACUCAAAGUCUGGCGACAUUGACAGUGUCUCUCAGCGCAGACAGUCCCAUCCUGGGAAGCAGCCAAUCAGCAGCCUCGGAACAUGGCAAUACAUCAUUAUCUGACAAGGAGAGCAGAGUCGGAGUUUCCUCCCGAACAUGGCAGUUCACUCAGGGAAGAUUAAACAUGCCAUGUGUUUUAUGCAACAAGCACCAGGUCUUGUAGGAGGAGCUGCAGUAUGCCUGUUGCUGGCUUGUAUGACCACAACCAUUAACAUGACAGCUGUGGACAAACUAUGUCAGUGGAGGAUCUGAGGACGAGCUAUGGGCAAUGAGCAGCUUGUUUACGUGUGUUGAAACAAGUCUGUAUGCGUGUUAUAUACUGACUCACAUGGAAAAUGCAUAUUUGAAUUCUGGUAAUAUUUGGUAAUUUGGCCUGAAAAUGAAGUUAAGUUGGAAUUAAUUGGUGGUAUUGGUACAAAUCUUGUUUGAAAAAUUAAGUUAAGUUCUGGAUGUUUAGGUGAGGUAUUCAAACACAAACUUGUUAGAAUUGGGGUUAAAAUCUUCUUUGAAAACUUUUGUUAAAUUCUGGGUAUUUAGAAUCACCAUCAUCAAACACGAAAAUGUUGGAAUUGGGGUUCAAAGCUUGUUUGAAAACUGAAGUUAAGUUCUGGAUGUUUAGGUUUGAGGUAAUUAAACACAAACUUGUUAGAAUUGGGGUUAAAAUCUUCUUUGAAAACUUUUGUUAAAUUCUGGGUAUUUAGAGUAACAUCAUCAAACACAAUAAUGUUGGAAUUGGGGUUCAAAUCUCAUUUGAUGUUUUUUCCAGGUAUACUGUUGAAAUUUUCUUGAUUCCUUUUAAGUGGAUUUUGCAUUUGAAAUGUGGUUCAGUAUAUAUCAUAAGCAUAGGCUGAUAUCAACAUUUAUCUGAUGGGUUUUAUAGGGUUUUAUUUACUUAGGGAAAUAUGGUACAGGGGAAUAUGGUUUUAGUCAAUGUUCAUGGAAUGUCUCAAACUUGAACUGGUUAGUAUUGCUGUAACUUACAAAAAAACACCAUUAUACAGUUGAAAUGUUUGUUAAAAAGGGUGUUUACAUUUUUUAUUUUAUCUGCGAAUAGCUGCAAAAUUGCUGAUGCGGCUUAAUGCACAUUUACUCACUACUCCUAUUUGGAGAGAUUAUAUUUAUGGAUAUGUGAAUAUGAAUUGUUAAUGUGUAUGUAAAUAUGGAUUAUUGUGUUAUGGAAUAAUGUAUCAGCAUUGUUAACGUAAUUUGUUGAACAUUUUAUGUGAAGUUGAAUCAAUUAAUGUAGAUCUCUCCUCUAAAUGCUUCACAGGGAGGGGCGCUGGUGUUGAGAACUGCCACCUUGGUCAUGUUGGUAAUCAAUUGUCAUUAGAGAAUCAGCCAUAGAGGGCGAUGGCUAACUUGUGAAGCAGCCAUUAUGUGCACCUGUAAUAGAUCAAUCAGUGUAAAGAGAAUCUCUGUUUUGUUUAAUUAAAUCAUGGAGUGUUAUAUUUUUCAGUUAAUGAUUAUGAUGAUUAUGAUUAUGAUUUAUUGAAGGCACAAUCACCAUUAGAAUGAUGCAAAUGUUCUGAGAGGUUUUUCCCUCUACGCUCUCUCAAUGUGUUUAUAUAUAAAUGAAUGUAAGCUGAUCAAAGUCGUUUGAUACUGAUCUGCAUGAAUAUUCCCCAGUUUUGUAUGUACUUUAUAUAUAGUAGACUUCCCAUUUUGAAGCUCUUUUGACAGGUUGUAGGAUCAGCAGUUUAUGUUGGUUUCCUGGUAUCUGUACCGAGCACCUGGUAUCUGUACCUGUGGAAAAAAAUUCUAUCAGUCAUCAUUUAAUUUAAGGAAGUCCACCUGGCCUGUUGUUCAGCUUUUUUCAGCAGAGACAACCCAAAGUUGUGAGUUGGAUUGGUUUUGGAUGGGUUGAUUUUGCAAGUGUUGCUAGGCAACCAGGACAGUAACAUGUCUUGCUGGAAUAGUUUCUGAUCAUUAUUGUGUGAUGCCGAUUUGUUAUAUGGCUCAAAUGUUAAUAAGUCUAACAUAUAUAUAUAUAUAUCUUUCCAACUGUCCCUCUAUCGCUUAUGGCUGGCUUAAUCGAUCACUUCUAUCCUGUGGGAUUGAAAGUCCCGCCAUGCCUGUGUUCCCUACCUGGUGUUUGUUGAAUACCAUCUUCAGGCAUCAGGAGGUGGUUGACACAGGUGUGAGCUGGUUGAUGUUCUCUCUCAGGUUCUUUCUUCUUCUGGUUAUCUCACCUCUCUAUACUAUCCCCUGAUACCCAUGAAGAUCCGGGUAAUAAUUGGCCUUGAGAAACCCAUACUUGUUGUAACAGGUGACUAUUGGUAUUGGGUGUUGAGGCAGGCUGGAUUGCCUCUGGUUAUCUCAACCAUUCACACCCUUCAUCCCAUGCACUCUAUUGUUUUGGGAGGUAGCCAUGGGAUGUCCUAAUAGCCUGAUAGUUCAAGUGUUUGCUUGUCACGCUGACGACUCAGGCUCAAUUCCACACAUGGGUACAAUGUUUGAAGCCCCAUUUUGGUAUCCCCAGCCGUGAUAUUGCUAGAAUAUUGCUAAAAGCAAUGUAAAGCUCACUCACUCACUCACUCUUCGAUCCUGUGAGAUUGAAAGUCCCGCCAUGCCUGUGUUCCCUGCCUGGUGUUUGUUGAAUACCAUCUUCAAGCAUCAGGAGGUGGUUGACACAGGUGUGAGCUGGUUGAUGUUCUCUCUCAGGUUCUUUCUUCCCCCAGUCAACUCACCGCCACACUUAUAUUCUAUACUAUCCGUUUCUUUCUCUAUUCUUUACGAUCCUGUGGGAUUGAAAGUCCCGCCAUGCCUGUGUUCCCUGCCUGGUGUUUGUUGAAUACCAUCUUCAAGCAUCAGGAGGUGGUUGACACAGGUGUGAGCUGGUUGAUGUUCUCUCUCAGGUUCUUUCUUCCUCUGGUCAUAUCACCCAUCCACAUCUAUAUUCUAUACUAUCCAUUUCUUUCUCUAUUCUUUACGAUCCUGUGGGAUUGAAAGUCCCGCCAUGCCUGUGUUCCCUGCCUGGUGUUUGUUGAAUACCAUCUUCAAGCAUCAGGAGGUGGUUGACACAGGUGUGAGCUGGUUGAUGUUCUCUCUCAGGUUCUUUCUUCUUCUGGUUAUCUCACCUCUCUAUACAAUCCCCUCAUACCCGUGAAGAUCCGGGUAAUAAUUGACCUUGAGAAACCCAUACUUGUUGUAACAGGCGACUAUUGGUAUCGGGUGUUGAGGCAGGCUGGAUUGCCUCUGGUUAUCUCAACCAUUCACACCCUCCAUCCCAUGCACUCUAUUGUUUUGGAGGUAGCCAUGGGGUAGCCUAAUAUCCUGAUAGUUAAAGCGUUAGCUUGUCACGCUGAAGACUCAGGUUCAAUUCCCCACAUGGGUACAAUGUUUGAAGCCCCAUUGUGGUGUCCCCAGCCAUGAUAUUGCUAGAAUAUUGCUAAAAGUAAUGUAAAACUCACACACUCACUCACUCUUUGAUCCUGUGAGAUUGAAAGUCCCGCCAUGCUUGUGUUCCCUGCCUUGUGUUUGUUGAACACCAUCUUCAGGCCUCAGGAGGUGGUUGACACAGGUGUGAGCUGGUUGAUGUUCUCUCUCAGGUUCUUUUUUCUUCCAGUCAUCUAACCAUCCACAUGUAUAUUCUGUACUAUCUGUUUCUUUCUCUUCUCUUUGAUCCUGUGGGGGCGUUGGAGUAGCCUAGUGGUUAAAGCGUUCAUUCGUUACGCUGAAGACCCGGGUUCAAUUCCCCACAUGAGUAUAUGUGAAUUGGUGUCCCCCUCCGUGAUAUUGCUGAAAAAUUGCUUAAGGCGGCGUUAAACUAAACUGACUCACUCACUCUUCGACCCUGUGGUUCACUUUCAGGUUCUUUCUUCCUCUAGUCAUAUCACCUAUCCACAUCUAUAUUCUAAACUUUCCGUUUCUUUCUCUAUUCUUUACGAUCCUGUGAGAUUGAAAGUCCCGCCAUGCCUGUGUUCCCUGCCUGGUGUUUGUUGAACACCAUCUUCAGGCCUCAGGAGGUGGUUGACACAGGUGUGAGCUGGUUGAUGUUCUCUCUCAGGUUCUUUCUUCUUCCAGUCAUCUAACCAUCCACAUGUAUAUUCUGUACUAUCUGUUUCUUUCUCUAUUCUUUAUACGAUCCUGUGGGAUUGAAAGUCCCGCCAUGCCUGUGUUCCCUGCCUGGUGUUUGUUGAACACCAUCUUCAGGCAUCAGGAGGUGGUUGACACAGGUUAGAGCUGGUUGAUGUUCUC